UGUACGGUCUUCCCUUCAAGACGAAUAAAUCUUGGCGCCUUUUACUCAAGAUUUCCGUGGAGGGGAGCCUUAAAUGAGUCUAUAACUAUUAAUCCACCAGAGCUGAUUUUUUUAUGU